rnacentral:rRNA from 1 species
CCUACGGGUGGCAGCAGUGAGGAAUAUUGGUCAAUGGACGAGAGUCUGAACCAGCCAAGCAGCGUGAAGGAUGACUGCCCUAUGGGUUGUAAACUUCUUUUAUAUGGGAAUAAAACGUUCCACGUGUGGGAUUUUGUAUGUACCAUAUGAAUAAGGAUCGGCUAACUCCGUGCCAGCAGCCGCGGUAAUACGGAGGAUCCGAGCGUUAUCCGGAUUUAUUGGGUUUAAAGGGAGCGUAGGUGGAUUGUUAAGUCAGUUGUGAAAGUUUGCGGCUCAACCGUAAAAUUGCAGUUGAAACUGGCAGUCUUGAGUACAGUAGAGGUGGGCGGAAUUCGUGGUGUAGCGGUGAAAUGCUUAGAUAUCACGAAGAACUCCGAUUGCGAAGGCAGUUCACUGGACUGCAACUGACACUGAGGCUCGAAAGUGUGGGUAUCAAACAGGAUUAGAUACCCCUGUAGUC